AAGUCGAACGAUGAUGCCCAGCUUGCUGGGUGGAUUAGUGGCGAACGGGUGAGUAACACGUGAGUAACCUGCCCUUGACUUCGGGAUAACUCCGGGAAACCGGGGCUAAUACCGGAUAUGAGCCGUCCUCGCAUGGGGGUGGUUGGAAAGUUUUUCGGUCAGGGAUGGGCUCGCGGCCUAUCAGCUUGUUGGUGGGGUGAUGGCCUACCAAGGCGACGACGGGUAGCCGGCCUGAGAGGGCGACCGGCCACACUGGGACUGAGACACGGCCCAGACUCCUACGGGAGGCAGCAGUGGGGAAUAUUGCACAAUGGGCGAAAGCCUGAUGCAGCGACGCCGCGUGAGGGAUGAAGGCCUUCGGGUUGUAAACCUCUUUCAGCAGGGAAGAAGCGCAAGUGACGGUACCUGCAGAAGAAGCGCCGGCUAACUACGUGCCAGCAGCCGCGGUAAUACGUAGGGCGCAAGCGUUGUCCGGAAUUAUUGGGCGUAAAGAGCUCGUAGGCGGUUUGUCGCGUCUGGUGUGAAAACUCGAGGCUCAACCUCGAGCUUGCAUCGGGUACGGGCAGACUAGAGUGCGGUAGGGGAGACUGGAAUUCCUGGUGUAGCGGUGGAAUGCGCAGAUAUCAGGAGGAACACCGAUGGCGAAGGCAGGUCUCUGGGCCGCAACUGACGCUGAGGAGCGAAAGCAUGGGGAGCGAACAGGAUUAGAUACCCUGGUAGUCCAUGCCGUAAACGUUGGGCACUAGGUGUGGGGCUCAUUCCACGAGUUCCGUGCCGCAGCAAACGCAUUAAGUGCCCCGCCUG
rnacentral:rRNA from 1 species